UCCUCCCUUCGUUCGUCCCCCUUUGCCUCUCUCUCUCUCUCUCUCUCGCUCCCCCACUCUUCUUUAAGUUUCUAAGUAGCAUUUAAAUGAGAUUUAGGAAUAAACAUGUGGACAAUGUGAAGAAGAAUUGAGAAAUUGGAAGUAGAAGAAGAAGACGAAGAUGAUGGUAAUGCUCCGUCUGGAAACUGGUACUAUUUGAAUUUUGCAGCCAUUUCUUUUUGUUUUUGCUGUAUUGUACAGGCCAAGCUUGCACACAGAUGUCGUUUUCAGCGACUAUCUGUUUUGGCACUUGGAAUCCUAUUCAUGAAGUAAGUUUAAUUUAAUAUAUAUAGAGAGAGACACGUGUAUGUAGAUAUAAAUAUAGCAAGAGUAUCAAGAGUUUUUUUGGUUAAUGGAACCAGUAAGGAAUUAUUUCAUUUUAAAUUCAACAUUCCCUUUAGUUUCACAUUUAUUAUUAUUGUUAUUAUUAUUAGACCUACGAAUCAUGUUUUUAAUAAACUUUUCUUUCCACUUUUCAAAACGUGGUUUUCCUAGUGUGCGUUCAGGCAUCCAUGGAAUAUUAUCUUAAUCUACAGAUCUCCCUUAUUCAUCCAUGGUUUUAUUUUGUUUUAUUUUAUUUUUUUCAUUCAGGCUCUGACUGCACGACAGUGUUGUACCCACCCCAGAGAUUUGGGAAAAAAAGGACUACUCUCUCCAGGGAUUUGAUACCUUCUAUCACUAUUACCCCUUCCUAACUUGACAUAUGCACUGUGUUUUUGCUACCUACCUCUAUGACUACUACGACCUACCUUCCUCCUCCUACUCUUUCUUGCUCUCUCUCUCUCUGUCCUUCAUCAAUAGUACUCCUUCAUCCCUCUUUCUGAAAGACAAGGGGGGUCCAUGAAAGAUGCAGUAGGAAUACUUACAAGCAUGCUUACUGCAUUGUGUAUCUGCAGAAUGGCAGAAGUUGCCAUCUAUGGAGGGAAGCCCUCAGCAGCAGUUCCACAAAUGGAGAGAACAAUAGAGAGGGAGAUGAUGAGACUACGAGUCCAUUCACAGGAUAACAAGAGAUUCCAACAACAUAAACCAGGAUUCCAAGUUAACUACACACACACACACAUGUAUGUAUGUAUGUAUACACUUCUCACAUACUCUCACUUGCUCUGUUGGUGAGUUGGGUUGGGUAUACUGAGGUGGGCAUUCAAUUAGCGGAAACCUGUCCCCAUACCUACUAUUUGAGCCUGCCCCACCAGCAGCAGUCGAUCUCAUACCUCCCCCCCCAAUCCACAGGAAGUAAAAAUGUAAUAGUGGUGGUUAAUAGUAUCAGAAGCAGCAGCAGAAUAUCGGAGAACAAGGACAUAAGCACAUGAUCCAUCAUUCAUUCAUUCAUUCAUUCUUUCUUUCUCUCUGCCUGUCUGUCUGGGCAAGCAUUCCAAAUCCAAUCUAAUCCAAUCUAAUCCAAUCCUUGUUCAGUCCAAUCCUUUUGAUUCACAAAAUGAUACAAAGGAAAGAGGCAGUGACGGGAGG
rnacentral:lncRNA from 1 species